GACGAACGCUGGCGGCGUGCCUAACACAUGCAAGUCGAACGGAAAGGCCCUGAUUUUGUGCGGUGCCCGAGUGGCGAACGGGUGAGUAACACGUGUGUAACCUGCCCUUGACUUUCGGAUAACUUCAGGAAACUGGGGCUAAUAUAGGAUAGGAGCUCCUGCUCCAUGGUGGGGGUUGGAACGUUUCGGCGGUUGGGGAUGGACUGGCGGGUUACCAGCUUGCUGGUGGGGUAGUGGCUUACCAAGGCUUUGACGGGUAGCCGGCCUGGGAGGGUGACCGGCCACAAGGGGACUGAGAGAGGGACCAGACGCCAACGUGAGGCAGCGGGGGGGAAUAUUGCACAAUGGGCGGAAGCCUGAGGCAGCAGCGUCGCGUGCGGGAUGACGGCCUUCGGGUUGUAAACCGCUUUCGCCUGUGACGAAGCGUGAGUGACGGUAAUGGGUAAAGAAGCACCGGCUAACUACGUG
rnacentral:rRNA from 1 species